UGUUAGGCUAGGUUGGGAGGCUAGUGGUCUCUUGUAAGCUCAAAUCCUCUAUAUGGAGCGACCGAAGUUUUUGGAGAGGCAUAUUAAAUGCUAAUAAGCCUAUUUCUAUGAUGUAGAAGUUUCGUCCCGUAGGAUUAGCGGUAGUAGGAAUUCAACUGGAGGGUUGAAUUUAACUAUUUUAAUUAAUUGAAUGGGUCAGGUCUGGAAAGAAGCAGCUCUGUUUUAGACAACUGAUGUUUACGGAUUAACGGGAUGGAGUUAUGGAUUUAGAUAACUUAUUUUUAUGAGGUAUGUCCAUCCAAUUACAUGCCGUUUA
rfam:Methanosphaera stadtmanae DSM 3091, complete genome.